AUUCUAAAAAUAAACGUGACAUACACCACAUGUAACACUUUCCACAUCUUGUACGCUCAGACGAGCGCCAUUCACUGAAGAGGAAACCGUUGUUUGGAAUAAUUAGAUAUCGAGUAAUAAGAUUUCUUUCAACAUGGCUAGCUGUUCGAGAAUCUGCAUGGUUUUUUUUACUAUAGUCUUGGAAGUAGCUGACCUCAUUCUGGACUGGGACUUUUACGUUGAGAUAAAAAAUACAGACCUUAUCGCGCAAGAAAUUGUAUAUUGUAUUCUUGGUUUUGCAUUCCUGGGAUCGCUACUUUUUCUGUGCACAGUGAUUACGAAGAUUGUCAUCAUUUGUGAUAACGAUUAUGAUGAAGAAAAUGACACAUGUACUACAGUUCUUUCCUUGCUAUCCACUGUUUUUGAAGAUUUUCCACAAAUCAUCCUCGCACUGUUCGUUGCGUUUAACACGAAGGACUUACUGUCUCCUGUUCAAAUUGCAAAGGCUGUAUAUGGAAUCAUUGAACCGAUAAUCCAGAUCACAUUAAAUGCGAGAGAGUACUCGAAAUUGAAGAAAAAGAUGUGGGAUGAUAACACUUGUCUCAAAGGGUGCAAAAUAACUGAAAUCCUCGCUAGUGUCGUCAUCAUUAUCUGUUCCGUUAUAUUGCUCGUAGAUCUUGUCCUGCAUCUCUGAAUAUACCUUCUGUAAGAGAUUAAUUGUCAGAUAAUAAUAUAAUGUCUAGGAAAAGGGCCUACAAAAUAUUCGAUGUAUUUACAUAUUAUUAAAUGAAACAUACAUAAGAACAGUAUAAAAAGAAUGGAUUAAUUGUCAUCAUCUUGAGAAAGUGUAUAAAAUGAUUGUUAUUUUGUGGAAAUAGGUAAAAUGUAUUAUAUAUAUUUAUUUGUAAUGAAGCAUAUUGUCUGUGAUAAUGCAAAUAAAUAAUCACCUGGUA